AAACACCAGGGUUUGCUCAGUAACGGCGAGUGAAGCGGCAAAGCUCAAAUUUUGAAACCCUCGGGAUUGUAAUUUGAAGAUUUGGCAUUGGAGAAAGCUAACCCAAGUUGCUUGGAAUAGUACGUCAUAGAGGGUGACAACCCCGUCUGGCUAACCGUUCUCCAUGUAUUGCCUUAUCAAAGAGUCGAGUUGUUUGGGAAUGCAGCUCAAAGUGGGUGGUAAACUCCAUCUAAAGCUAAAUACUGGUGAGAGACCGAUAGCGAACAAGUACUGUGAAGGAAAGGUGAAAAGAACUUUGAAAAGAGAGUGAAAUAGUAUGUGAAAUUGUUGAUAGGGAAGGAAAUGAGUGGAGAGUGCCGAGGUUUCAGCCGCCCCUCGUGGGCGGUGUACUGCCGACGCCGAGUCAUCGAUAGCGAGACGAGGGUUACAAAUGGGAGCGCCU
rnacentral:rRNA from 1 species